UACAUAACGAGGGACAGUUUGUGUGUCUCUUGGAUUGAGAAGAAUAGCGAGGUAGAGUGAAAAGGCCGAGCCAUCGUUUCGGUCGUCAUUAUUUGGAUUGGCGAUUCGAUUGUUUCUCGUCCACAU
rfam:Prunus persica cultivar Lovell chromosome G4, whole genome shotgun sequence.